AAGAACCCCGGGAGGGGAGUGAAAAAGAACAUGAAACCGUGAGCUUACAAGCAGUGGGAGUCCGAUUAAACGGAUGACCGCGUGCCUGUUGAAGAAUGAGCCGGCGACUUAUAGGUACUGGUAGGUUAAAGCGGGAAUGCUGGAGCCAAAGGGAAACCGAGUCUGAAAAGGGCGAUAAUCAGUAUUUAUAGACCCGAACCCUGGUGAUCUAACCAUGGCCAGGAUGAAGCUUGGGUAAAACCAAGUGGAGGUCCGAACCGACCGAUGUUGAAAAAUCGGCGGAUGAGCGGUGGUUAGGGGUGAAAUGCCAAUCGAACCAGGAGCUAGCUGGUUCUCCCCGAAAUGUGUU
rnacentral:rRNA from 1 species